UACGAAGGGGGCUAGCGUUGCUCGGAAUCACUGGGCGUAAAGGGUGCGUAGGCGGGUCUUUAAGUCAGGGGUGAAAUCCUGGAGCUCAACUCCAGAACUGCCUUUGAUACUGAAGAUCUUGAGUUCGGGAGAGGUGAGUGGAACUGCGAGUGUAGAGGUGAAAUUCGUAGAUAUUCGCAAGAACACCGGUGGCGAAGGCGGCGACCUGGUCCGAUACUGACGCUGAGGCGCGAAAGCGUGGGGAGCAAACAGG
rnacentral:rRNA from 1 species